rnacentral:rRNA from 1 species
ACAGCAGUCGCCGCGGUAAUACGUAGGUGGCAAGCGUUGUCCGGAAUUAUUGGGCGUAAAGGGCUCGCAGGCGGUUUCUUAAGUCUGAUGUGAAAGCCCCCGGCUCAACCGGGGAGGGUCAUUGGAAACUGGGAAACUUGAGUGCAGAAGAGGAGAGUGGAAUUCCACGUGUAGCGGUGAAAUGCGUAGAGAUGUGGAGGAACACCAGUGGCGAAGGCGACUCUCUGGUCUGUAACUGACGCUGAGGAGCGAAAGCGUGGGGAGCGAACAGGAUUAGAUACCCGCGUAGUCCCUGUCUCUUAUAC